GUAGGCAACUACACAUCUGCUACUCUGAUCCUCAACACGGGGGCCCCUCAAGGGUGCAUGCUUAGUCCCCUUCUGUACUCCCUAAUAACCCACGACUGAGUGGCCAAACACGACUCCAACACCAUCACUAAGUUUGCAGAUGACACAACGGUGUUGGGCCUGAUCACCGUCAACAAUGAGAGCCUAUAGAGAGGAGGUCAGAGACCUAGCAGCGUGGUGCCAGGACAACAACCUCUCCCUCAACAUGAUCAAGACAAAAGAGAUGAUCGUGGAUUACAGGUAAAGGACGGGGCUCUAGUGGAGCAGGUCGAGAGCUUCAGGUUCUUUGGUGUCCACAUCUCCAACAAACUAUUGUGGACCAAACACACCAAGACAGUUGUGAAGAGGGUACGACAACGCCUAUUCCUCCUCAGGAGACUGAAAAGAUUUGUCAUGGGUCCUCAGAUUCUCAAAAAGUUAUACAGCUGCACCAUCGAGAGCAUCCUGACUGGUUGCAUCACCGCCUGGUAUGGCAACUGCUCGGCAUCCGACCGCAAAGCGCUACAGUGGGUAGUGCGUACAGCCCAGUACAUCACUGGGGCCAAGCUUUCUGCCAUCCAGGACCUCUAUACCAGGCGGUGUGUCAGAGGAAGGCCCUAAAAAAGUCUAGGUCCAAAAAGCUCCUUAAACCACCAAGCCAUAAGACUGCUUAACAGUUAGACAAAUGGCUAUCUGGACUAUUUGCAUUGACAACCCAUUUUUUUACGCUGCUGCUACUCGCUGUUUAUUAUUUAUUAUCUAUGCAUAGUCACUUUACCCCUACCUACAUGUACAUAUUACCUCAAUUACCUCGACUAUCCUGUACAUUGACUCAGUGGCGGUACCCCCUGUAUAUAGCCUCAUUAUUGAUACUUUUUUGUGUUACUUUCUUUUUACUUUAGUUUAUUUUGUAAAUAUUUUCUUAACUCUUAAUUUUCUCAAAACUGCAUUUUUGGUAAAGGGCUUGUAAGUAAUAAUUUCACGGUAAGGUCUACUACACCUGUUGUAUUCUGCGCAUGUGACAAAUACAAUUUGAUUUGAUUUGAUUUGGAGAUUCACAGUAUAAGCUGAUCCUAGAUCUGUGCCUGAGAGUAAAUUCAACCUGGAGUAUGAACCAGAGGUGCUGCAGUAUAACCUACCUUUGUGCUUCUGCAGGGCCUUCUGGGGGGACUGGAGGACAGACUCUUGGAACUGCUGGGCAAACUCUUGAGCAGUAAAGCUCUCCCAGGUCUUGGUCCGGCCAUUCAGGCUGAGGGGAGCGUCUUUAGGCUGCAUGGGGGGCCGCAGGCUACCACUGUCUCACCCGCAUCUCUGUAAUCCCUGCUGCACCUCUGCUGUGUGUGUGUGUGUGUGUGUGUGUGUGUGUGUGUGUGUGUGUGUGUGUGUGUGUGUGUGUGUGUGGGAGGCUGCACGCUGCCAUCUGCAGGCAGCAUACGGUAAAUCCACAGGAUUAGCGCGGGAUCACCGUAAACCUGCCGCUGCCACUCCACGCCUCGCCACAGCAGUGUGUGUGUGUGUUGUGUGUGUGUGUGUGUGUGUGUGUGUGUGUGUGUGUGUGUGUGUGUGUGUGUGUGUGUGUGUGUGUGUGUGUGUGUGUGUGUGUAUCUGUUUCUCCUCACAGAAAGUCCAGCUGUAACACUGAAGAGGGAGGCAUGUGCAUCUGAUAACAUUCCCAAAGAGGAUGAGAUCUGUACGCUGGUGAAGGACAUCUGGGACACGCGCAUCGCCAAGCUCCGCCUCUCCACUGACAGCUUCAUCAGCCAGCAGGAAGCACACGCCAAGCUGGACAACCUGACUGAUGGAGAUUAACACGACACGGUCGUUCCUGCUGGACACUCUCAACUGCAUGAAUAAGCUGCGCUCCAACCUGCAGCCCGGCUCCAGUGGGGGCAAAGCCCAGCACCACUGAUCUGUAUUUACGGACUAGACCUGGACCUGGGCCGCAGCCUCUCCUGUCCUAAGCAAGAUGGAGCAGACUUAGGCCCAGCUUUACUAAGCAUUUGCAGCAGCUGCAAAGUAAAAUAACGGAAUCAAGGAAUCCAGACAUUAAAACAGAAUUCAUCAAAAUUCUUAAAUGCAUUGAACUUAGUAGGGAAUCUUAUUGAACAUUUAUUAGUCCAAGUUUAUCAUAAGGCAUGAAAAGAAUGCAUCAGUGAUUUGUAUUUCCUGCAACUUAAUAAAGUGUGCUUUUUUCAGAGCGAAAACCUGAAAACUGGAAACCUGGAAAAACAAAAUGACAUUUUGAAAAAAUCUAAUGGAAUCAGGCAAAAAAUAAAACUGAUUUUAUAGAGCCCUAAGUCUGAUCCUAGUGAAGACAGAGCUGAUCCGCAGUUCUUAUGAAGUUGGAGUACUUAUCUGAAGUUGUCAUGCCCCAACUAUCUGAUUCCUUAGUACUAUGUGUUAUCUCAUUGGAUUUGUUGAAGUUGAAGCUUCGGACAAAAGCAAUCAUCAGCAGACCGAUAGUCCUCUUCAACAGGCCAUGGGCUCCCUGGAGAAAACACCCUGCUUCGGUAUGGUUGGACUUUUCAAAAAGAAAUCUGGGUUGAUGCCUUUUAAAAUAUUUGCUUAAUAGAGGUAGCAGUUGUCGUGUCUUUGGGCACCAUUAAACUGAAGACAUGUUUAUCAAU